AGGACGAACGCUGGCGGCGUGCCUAACACAUGCAAGUGGAGCGACGAACCAGGCUUCGGCCUGGGGCAAAGCCGCGAACGGGUGAGUAACACGUGGGUAACCUGCCCCGAUGAUUGGGACAACCCGAGGAAACUCGGGCUAAUACCGAAUGUGCCCUCCGACCAUAAGGUCGCUGGGGAAAGGAAGCUUCGGCCUCCGCAUCGGGAUGGGCCCGCGGCCCAUUAGCUUGUUGGUGAGGUAACGGCUCACCAAGGCAACGAUGGGUAGCUGGUCUGAGAGGACGAUCAGCCACACUGGGACUGAGACACGGCCCAGACUCCUACGGGAGGCAGCAGUGGGGAAUCUUGCGCAAUGGGCGAAAGCCUGACGCAGCGACGCCGCGUGGGGGAAGAAGGCUUUCGGGUUGUAAACCCCUUUCAGGAAGGACGAAGCCACUCGGGUGAAUAGCCCAGAGGGUGACGGUACUUCCAGAAGAAGCCCGGCUAACUACGCGCCAGCAGCCGCGGU
rnacentral:rRNA from 1 species